CAGCCAUCCUUUAGCCUAGGAACAACCUUUGUGCAUCUAAUUUUAGCCUCAAAAUUUUAUAAAGCCGUGAAGCUUAUACAGCCUCCUUUUGGCCUACGGAUCAUUGACUCACGGUCAAUGGAAUACAAUCACGAGGUACGCCACGGAAAAUGGAGGAACGACGGGUGGCCAGGGCGGUGACACUAUCUAUGUCUCUAACGAGGCCCAACUUGUCGCCGCUGUGACCGGAGACGACCCUCGUAUUGUAAAGAUCACUUCAAACAUCGCGCUCUCCGCGGUAGUUCGGCCAGGGUCGAAUAAAUCCAUUCUGGGUGCCGGUCCAACCGCGGGAGUGACGGGAUCCGGUUUCUACAUCCGUCGCCAACGUAACGUCAUCAUCUGCGGGCUUAAAAUUUCUUACGCGAUCGCGCCCGACGAUGGUGUCUCCAUCGAUGAAUCUACUAACGUGUGGGUCGAUCAUAACGAAUUUUUCGCGGAUCGAGAACACCGCAAGGAUUACUAUGACGGACAAUUGGACGUUAAACAUGCCGCAGAUUUUAUUACCGUGUCACGGAACAAGUUUCAUGACUCUUACAAAACGAGUUUUAUCGGACAUUCGGACAAUAAUGCGGACGAGGAUACGGGAAAGCUCCGCAUCACCUACAACAACAACUGGUUCACCGAUGUCGGAUCCCGCCUUCCUUCCCUGCGUUUCGGAACUGGCCACAUUUACAACAAUUUGUACGAAAGGGUGGACACUUCCGGGAUAAAUAGUCGAAUGGGGGCACAAGUCUUGGUUGAGAGGAACGUCUUCAUCGAAACGGUUGUCCCCCUCACGACAAAUCUCGACAGCGCUAGAAGGAUUCGCUGUAGAGCGGGAGAACGACUGGGGUGAUUCGGAACCCAACAUUACGCAAGAAGGAUCAUUCACGAAUCCGCCGUAUUCCUAUGAGAUGGAAGAAGUGGCCCGAGUUGCGACCGUUGUCCGAGCCGGGGCGGGAGCUACGAUCAGUUUUCCUUAAAAUAUGUAAAUGAAAAUUUGAAUUGAGUUUCAAAAUUACAUGAAUAAAAAAUGAGUUACGAGCCGAGA